CCUACGGGAGGCAGCAGUGAGGAAUAUUGGUCAAUGGGCGCGAGCCUGAUCCAGCCAAGUAGCGUGAAGGAUGACUGCCCUACGGGUUGUAAACUUCUUUUAUAAAGGAGUAAAGUGAGGCACGUGUGCCUUUUCGUAUGUAUUUUAUGAAUAAGGAACGGCUAAGUUCGUGCCAGCAGCCGAGGUAAUACGGAGGAUACGAGCGUUGCCCGGAUUUAUUGGGUUUAAAGGGAGCGUAGAUGGGUUGUUAAGUCAGAUGUGAAAGUGUGCGGCUCAACCGUAAAAUUGCAAUUGAUACUGGCAGCCUUGAGUACAGUUGAGGUAGGCGGAAUUCGUGGUGUAGCGGUGAAAUGCGUAGAUAUCACGAAGAACUCCGAUUGCGAAGGCAGCCUACUAAACUGCCACUGACAUUGAGGCUCGAAAGUGUGGGUAUCAAACAGGAUUAGAUACCCUUGUAGUC
rnacentral:rRNA from 1 species